rnacentral:rRNA from 1 species
CCUACGGGUGGCAGCAGUCGAGAAUCAUUCACAAUGGGGGAAACCCUGAUGGUGCGACGCCGCGUGGGGGAAUGAAGGUCUUCGGAUUGUAAACCCCUGUCAUGUGGGAGCAAAUUAAAAAGAUAGUACCACAAGAGGAAGAGACGGCUAACUCUGUGACAGCAGCCGCGGUAAUACAGAGGUCUCAAGCGUUGUUCGGAAUCACUGGGCGUAAAGCGUGCGUAGGCUGUUUCGUAAGUCGUGUGUGAAGGGGGCGGGCUCAACCCGCGGACGGCACAUGAUACUGGGAGACUAGAGUAAUGGAGGGGGAACCGGAAUUCUCGGUGUAGCAGUGAAAUGCGUAGAUAUCGAGAGGAACACUCGUGGCGAAGGCAGGUUCCUGGACAUUAACUGACGCUGAGGCACGAAGGCCAGGGGAGCGAAAGGGAUUAGAUACCCUUGUAGUC